AAUGAUGUUAUGGUUGGGGGGGUCACCACAGCACGAGGAGCUGUAUUAAAGGGUUGCAGCAUUAGGAAGGUUGAGAACCACUGCUCGGAACUGUUGGUUUAUUGACUCACCACGAGUGUUUACUGUGCACCUGCUACAUGAAGCCCCAAGAAUGCUCCGGAAGAUGAGCAGGCAUGGGGCACGCAUUUCCUGGUGGAUGAGAGAUAACAGUGACAAAUGGCUUGCGCUUUGCAAGUUGUAGGGUGUUAGGGUUUUGCACAGUGAGUCAGGGAGAGAGUAGAGGGUUCUAGAGAAAGAAGCAACCUAAUUUAAUCUGCGUUUGAAAGAAUUUCUCUGGCUAUUAUGUGGGAUGUGAGCUGGAGGUGAGGAGAACGGGGAAUGGCAGGUGGGGGCACGUAGAAACUCCAUAGGUUCCCAGGAGACAAAGCCAGUGAUGGAUUCUGGACUGGGCAGUGUUGAUAAAAUUUGCAGAUGGACUGACUGGCUGGCUGCUGGGAUAACAAAUACAAGGAAGGAUGAUUAAAUUUCUUGGUUUGAGCAGUUGGGGAUUCUGUGUUUCCAAAUAGGGGAGAGUGGAUGAGGAACAGGCUGAGGAGGAAACAUCUUGGGCUCUCCUUUGAACUGGGACAUUUAGAACUGUGACAGGAGAAGGGAAUACAGAUUAGUUGGAUUUUGCACCAGUGCCACAUUCUUGGGAACUCUCUGAGCUAGAAAUCGAGACUUGGAAGCAAUUGGUCACGGGACUGCGUGUGGCUAGCUAAGGGGAGAAUGCAGGCAGAAGACAAAAGAACCCAGAUACAGGGCUCUCUACACAUUACAAGAGGCAGAUGUCAAGGAGAAAAAGGUGCUACAUCCCUUCCUGCUCCCACAUCGCAAAUCAACUUCACAACACCAGUGACCAAUAAAGUAGGAGAGGCGCUGAGAGCAGAGCGUCACGGAAGAUAAAAAUGCUGUGAUCCAGGGAGCAGAUGGGUGACAUUGAGUAAGAUGAGAUGGCCACAGAAAAGGGACCAUCAGAUGUGAGACCAUGCAGUCAACUGUGCAGGAUUGCAGGAGUGGAGCCCUCUGAUACAGGGAGCUGCACUGUGGCCAAACAUCGCUAUUCCUUCAGGUUUGGAAACAAAUCGAGACUGUUUUCUUCCUGAGAAGCAAACACUUCAGAUAACUAGUGGCGGUUCUUAGAAAGAAUGUGAAUGGAUCUCCUCGCCUCCAAAGCUAUCUGGAAGCCUGGAGAGUAUAUUUAUGAGGAAAGAGGUUUGUAUAAAUACUUUCUUCAGUGACCUGUAUGGUAGGGUUGAGCCUGAGAAUUUUGUGUUCAGUGAAUGAUACCAAAUUAGGAGCUGCUAACAUGCCAGACAUCGAGGGCUAAUCUCACUAGGACCUUUCACACUGUCACGGACACCAUGAAACAAGAUACAUACACACACAAGCGAGAGUGGGUUUCUCAGAGCUUUGGGUGACAACAUUGUCCCCACGUACAGAACCAAGGAGCGGGUGAAUGCUCAAACCAGCAGGGGCUGGAGAGGUGAUGGCUCAGCAGGUAAGCGCACUUGUCCUUGCAGAGAGAGCACUGGGUUGGGUUCCCGGGACCCACGUGACAUCUCACAACCAUCAGUAACUCCGGUUCGGGGAGGUCUGAUAUCCUCUUCUGACUUCUGAGGACACCAGCAUGCAUGUGGUGCAUAGACAUACAUGUGAACAAAACACUCAUGCACAUAAAAUUUUUUUUAAAAGGAGAGAGGAAGUGCUGGGGAGAGAGAAUAGGGUGGUGCUGGAUCCCUCUUUGAAUAGGACCGUGCUGUGUGCCCCAGCUUGGCCUGAUGGUUAGGAGCCAGUCUGGCCAUGCGCAGUGCUGAGAUCUCAGGCACACACCCCCACACCAGGCUGAUGCUGGCAUGCGAACGAGGAAAUGACCAGCAAAAUUCCUGACUCCCUUUCCCGUAUAUGGCAACCUCGGGGGCCUAACUGGAGAGCACUCCUAACCACUGUGAAGCUUUCCAAUAUAGGAAAACAUCCCAAAAACUGAGGUCCUGGAAAAGAUGGGUGGGCUAAGAUACCGGAAGGGACGGUCUCUUGGAGGAAUUUCAAGCUAAUUGGAACUGUUUAAACUGAAAACUGUUUAAAAGUCUUCAGGUACUCGUGGGCAGUAGUCACGUGCUGAGCAUUUCGGGGCUCUCUCUUUAUUGGAAGACACAAGUGGAAACAAGAAUAAAAUAUGAGAGAAUUUAGAUUCCUCCAGAUCCCAAGACAGGCUUGCAAGAGGGUGGAUUUGAGUCCCGGCACCUCCCUCUACAUCCGAUGAGGGACCAUUAGGCAUGGAUGCGGUCACUUUACCUCAAAGCUGCCUCUCUUUUUCCCUCAGUUCAAUGGGGAGAUGAGCAGUGUUUGCUCACUCAUAGUUCGUGCUGAGGAUGCUGUAUGCAAAACUCUGACAAUUGUAUGUUUUGUUUUAUUUGUUUGUUUGAGACAGGGUCUCUCAAUGUAGCUUUGGCUAUCCCUGGUAUUCACUGUAGACCAGGCUACCCUUGAGCCUGCCUCUGGAGUACUGAGAUUAAAGGAGGCACCACCACAACCUGCAGUCAUAUGAUCACAGUGGAUGAUAAGCCUCUGGGAAAGGUCUCUAGAAGGAUCCCAAAGUCUACUGACACUUAAAAGCUGUCUUCAACUUAGGGUUAAGUUCAAGUUCUCAUGGUGUCUCUGUCAGACACAGUACCGACAUAGUAUUCAGUUACAAUUUCAAAAUUUUAUCACUUUAUCACUGCCUCAUUUUAUCACUUAAAAUUUUUAUUUACUAUUACUACUGUGUUUGUGUAUAAGGGUGUGUGUGAGCAUGCCAGGGUGUGUGUGUGUGUGUGUGUGUGUGUGUGUGUGAGCAUGCCAGGGUGUGUGUGUGUGAGCAUGCCAGGGUGUGUGUGUGUGAGCAUGCCAGGGUGUGUGUGUGUGAGCAUGCCAGGGUGUGUGUGUGUGUGUGUGUGUGUGUGUGUGUGUGUGUGCAUGCCAGGGUGUGUGUGUGUGCAUGCCAGGGUGUGUGUGUGUGAGCAUGCCAGGGUGUGCUUUUGGAGAUUGAAGUGUAAUGAACAGGAGUUGGUACUCUCCUUCUACUAUGCGGGUCUUGGGGAUUGAACCCAGGUGGUCAGGCUCAGGAGCAAGCACCUUCAUGAGGGAACCACCUCAACCACCCACUUCCCUCAUUUUCUAUGUCACAAAACUAUAGUCCUUGAACCCAACUGUGACUUCCUGCGUGUGGCACAGAUAUUCAACCACGUGGUUCCUUUUGUAGGGUUCACAACGGCUGGAAACUCAACUCAAGGCCUUAUACACACUGCAUGUGCUUUUCUAUUGAGCCACAUCCCAGUCCUUUGAUUUUGAUUUUGUGAUAAAAUUGCAACACAUUGAUCCAGGCUGUUUAGAACUCACUGUGUCAACCAGGUCUGGUCUUGAAUUUGGGAUUAUAGGAACCAUACCCAGCAAUCACUAAGCCAUGGAUUUUAAACCUGGAAGUGGCUCAUGAGAGAAUAUGUUGGUGCUUUGAUAUUCGAGUGGUAAUAACUAAUCUUCAUAACAUGUUGUGGAUUGUACUCAUAUCAGAAUUCUGUGUUAUUCUGAAGCCAGUGUAAUUCAAUUAAAAUUGCAUUCAGUUCAACUAGCCAUCACUGAGCCCCUGUGGGAGGUGCUUAGAAAGACAAAUAACACUUGUUCCCUGCUAUUGUGGACCUUACAGCCUAACUAACAGUAAGAGAAGAACCAAAAGUCGUUCAUUCGGCUACCCUUCGAGAGACACUGUAUUUCCAUUACAAUCACCAUGGAAGCAUAGCGAUGUUUUAUACGUACUCAGCCCAGGGAGUGGCACAGUUAGAAGGUGUGGCUCUGUUGGAGUAGGUGUGUCGCUAUGGUCGUGGACUAUAAGACCCUCAUCCUAGCUGUCUGGAAUUCGGCCUUCUGCUAGAAGCCUUCAGAAGAACAUGCAGAACUCUCAGCUCCUCCUGCACCAUGCCUGCCUGGAUGCUGCCAUGCUCCUGCCUUGAUGAUAAUGGACUGAACCUCUGAAGCUGUAAGCCAGCUCCAAUCAACUGUUCUUAUGAGAGUUGCCUUGGUCAUGGUGUCUGUUAACAACAUUAAAACCCUAAGACAGGA